GGAGGGUGCAAGCGUUGUUCGGAAUUAUUGGGCGUAAAGAGCGUGUAGGCGGUCCGGUAAGUCAGAUGUGAAAGCCCUGGGCUCAACCCAGGAAGUGCAUUUGAAACUACCAGACUUGAGUACGGGAGAGGAGGGGGGAAUUCCCGGUGUAGAGGUGAAAUUCGUAGAUAUCGGGAGGAAUACCAGUGGCGAAGGCGCCCCUCUGGACCGAUACUGACGCUGAGACGCGAAAGCGUGGGGAGCAAACAGGAUUAGAUACCUGGGUAGUCCACGCCGUAAACGAUGAGCACUAGGUGUAGCGGGUAUUGACCCCCCUGCUGUGCCGUAGCUAACGCAUUAAGUGCUCCGCCUGGGGGACUACGGUCGCAAGACUAA
rnacentral:rRNA from 1 species